GAUGAACGUUGGCAGUGUGCCUAAGACAUGCAAGUCGAACGAAGCGCUAGUGCGGAACUCUUCGGAGGGAAGGAUUAGUGACUGAGUGGCGAACGGGUGAGUAACACGUGGAUGACCUACCCUGAAGUGGGGGAUAACCUUGGGAAACCAGGACUAAUCCCGCAUGUGCUUGUUGGUUGUGACCAAUAAGGAAAGAUUUAUUGCUUUAGGAUGGGUCCGCGGGCCAUCAGCUAGUUGGUGAGGUAAAGGCUCACCAAGGCAACGACGGCUAGCCGGCCUGAGAGGGUGAACGGCCACAGGGGUACUGAGACACGGACCCCACUCCUACGGGAGGCAGCAGUUAGGAAUCUUCCACAAUGGGCGCAAGCCUGAUGGAGCGACACUGCGUGAGGGAAGAAGGCUUUCGGGUUGUAAACCUCUAAAAGUAGGACGAUAAUGACGGUACUACUUGAGAAGCACCGGCUAACUCCGUGCCAGCAGCCGCGGUAAUACGGAGGGUGCAAACGUUAUCCGGAAUCCACUGGGCGUAAAGGGCACGCAGGCGGUUAGUUAAGUCCGAUGUUAAAGCGUGGGGCUCAACCCCAUACGGGCGUUGGAUACUGGCUAACUAGACUCUUGGAGAGGUAAGUAGAAUUACCAGUGUAGCAGUGGAAUGCGUAGAUACUGGUAGGAAUACCAAUAGCGAAGGCAGCUUACUAGACAAUGAGUGACGCUGA
rnacentral:rRNA from 1 species